GCCGGGCUUCCUCCAAUCUACACCUCCACUCUAUCUCUCUCAAUCUAGUAGAAACUAGAAGAUCUAUUUCUACUUACAUUGGUUGCUAAGCCUAAAAAGAAAUUUUAUUUAGAGAAGAGGUUUUCCUUCGAGGGCACCCCUCAACUCUAUGAUAACUUCUUGUCUCCUCCAGGGGCUAGGGGGGUCUCCUUAUAUAGUCCUCCUCCUCUAUGCAUUUUUGGGUCGGUAGGUGAUGUGGUACUACGUUAUCCUUGAUCAUUUAGGUCGGUGGAACAUCGUGUGUGAAGAGAGUCCCGAACGGAGUCCAGCAGGGGGCGGGCGCCCUGGGCCUGGCCCCUUUCGGCCUCUGCUUUCUUUCUGUGGCUUCUGGAGUCUUCUAGAUGGUAGAAAAUUGCACGGUGCGUUGAUAUCUCUAUGUAAUCCCGACAUGUGGGCCUUUCUUCCUUAUUUCCUGAUACCCCCCUGCAGAAACAGAUAAACAACAAAACUCGUGGAAUUCUGUCAGAUCAAACCCUAAUUCUAGGUGUUGUUUGCAUAUUGGUCCUUUCUCUUGUUUAUUUUAUAAUUAAAAUUGAUACUUAAGAACCGUCAACAAAUACCCCCAUACUUAGGCUUUUACUCGUCCUCGAGAAAAGGAUGGUUAAGAACAAUAUUUGGGGUCAAACAUUUUCUUUAUAUUUGCAGGGUAUUAAAAUUCCACUGUGUACUGUAGUCAGGGAAGUACAUGGUUAAGAGUAAAGAUCCUUUCUUCUCAAUCCUGUCACUUGGAGUUUUUGUAUAUUUUUGAAAGAAAGUUACCAUACCUUUUAUCCUCAUAGGUUCUCUCAGAUCAUUCAUUAUCUUUUAUAUAUCUCACUGAGACUGUUUUAAUUUGUAAAAAAUUCUCAAGCAUACUUACUUUGCAUUUAUUGCCUGAUCAAAAUGGGAUCCGAGGAGGGGAAUGUCAUACUCUUAGAUCAAAGACUUUGGAAAUUAAAAACUUUGUCAACUAUUACUGGCAUAUUGCUUAUUAGAGGGACCAUGGGCUAUCAUUUUCUUUUCUCUCUCUUUUUUUUAAGUGGAUACCGAGGUACCCCUAAUUGUACUGCUGGACACUUGUCCAUUUUUUUCAGCGAGGUUGUCGAGCACUUGCUCCUUUUUAUUUCCUCGAAAUAUCUUUAUUUUUGCAUAGCCUAUGCCUCUAAUGCAAUAAUACUUCGGAAGAGUGAAUCUUUCUGAAUAAAUGUCUUGAUCUUAGGAGCAUUAUAAAUCUCUCAACAAGGAUCUAACUCAUUUUGAACAAACUCCAUACAGAGUAGAUAGCUUUUAUAAUAAUAUUUUCAGUUUUUAUCAGGCAUAUAAAACACUGAGGAUGGUAGCUAAAAUUUUGAAGAUUUUGAAAUAAAUUCUCCAAGCAACAAUGAUAUCAAGAAUAAGAAACUCAUACUCUACCAUCUCACAUUCCAUACUAUCUUAAGUAACACAGGGUUUUAAAAUGAUUUUAUAAUAGUUACAAGUUUCAGGAAAUAUCACAGAAUAAGAUUAAUCAUGAUUAGAAAUAUUUUAAUCUUUUCAAUUUAUCAUGUCAGAAACAGUAUUCUGCAUAAUUCAAGAUAUGUGUAUGUGUAAAGUAAAGUGUGUACCUGACUCAUGGAGUGGUGUAGUCGGAGUGUGUUUGGCGUGUUGAGGGAUCUCCCCCAUACUUGUUUUCUGCUUUGUUGCACAAAAAUAAAGUAGAGACACACAAGACAUAAUAAUAAUAAUACUCUUUAUUAAUCUUGAGGCAUUUAUUACAAAAGACUAGUAGCAAACUGAUGACAAUAGUAACUGAUGAUAAUAGUAACAAACUGACAAUAAUAGUAAACCUAAACCGAAUUUAAAGAUAGAUGACUAAGAUGAAUUGCCUCAAGGUCUAAUCUAGAUAACUUAGCGGCGCUCUAAUUCCUUAAUCUUCUUGUUGGCACUGGCAAGAUCAUGCCUAAGGCCUAGUAUAACGGUGUUGUGGUUAGAGAGCUGCCUAGUGAGGGAAUUAAUCGAGGACUGGAGGUCUAUGAUAACUCUGUCUAGCCUGCGGACAUCCUCAUCAAUAUCCAUUAUAGCGUGCUCCGGGGCUGCCUUUGGAGGGAUGAAACAGACUUUGGCUGCUCUAAUCCCUUCAAAGUAAGGUAUUUCCUCCUCCGUAGUGUAGCGAACGCUGCUGAUCUCGCCGCUCCGGUUGGUCUUGACUCCAACGACCCUCUCAUUGGGUCUAGGUGGAAGGAUCUUUGUGCCGGUUGGCACCUUGAUGGUGGUCUUCGUCUUGGAUGAUGAUCCCUUGAGAAGUAGGGGUUGUGGCGGUGCGGUGAGAACUGGUUGAGCAUGGUAGGAUUGGGUGGAGCUGCGUUGGCGUAAUGGCAUGGCUUCUAGCUGUCUUUCUGUGUUGGUCGGGACGAGAGCACGGGCAUUGGGGUCUUCCACAGGCUCCAUGUUGAGGUUGAAGGGGACGACUUCCGAAUCAUCGUGGUACUUCUCGGCCAUUGGAGCAGCAAGGAACUAAUCAGGCUCUAAUUGAAGAAGAAGAGAAGGCUUGGUGGCUUGGUGUUUGAAAACUGAUGUUAGGGGUCUGUUUAUAUAGGGGUCAAAAAGUGCCUCUAGGGGUUGUUCGGGUUGCUCCUGUCGAUGUGCGUGCGAAACUUUCCAUCUAAGGGAUUAUUCGGAUUACCAUAAGUGCAUUUUCCAUAACAGAGAAAAUUGGGACCGAGGGGGAAUAGGAGCUGGGCGCCCGCGCACCUGAUCUGGGCGCCCGCCCUCUCUUUGGCCCCUCUGUGGGCCCACUUUCUCGAGCGCGUUUCUAGAUGCAAAACUAUUUAAAAAUAUAUAUAUAUGACCCAAAAACAUCAGACUAAAAAGGUCGGGCUCUAAUUCUCCAUGGGAAGGUAAAAAUGGACUAUGUCUAUUUCUUCUAAUUCUUAUUGGGCUCUAAAAACAAUUUAAGACGUUGACCAUUUACCUUGAAUAACGUACCUUCAUCAUUUUGAAGUGUGAUAGCUCCGUGGGAUGAUGAAUUAAUUACCUUGAAUGGUCCUUCCCAUUUGCUCCGGAGUUUCCCAUGCCCGAAAAGCUUCACCCUGGAAUUAAAAAGUAAUACCUUAUCUCCGGGUGUGAACUCCUUCUUCUUGAUUCUCUUGUCAUGCCACCUUUUGACUCUUUCUUUGUAGAUCUUUGAAUUGUGAUAUGCUUUCUCUCGCCAUUCUUCCAAUUCUGAUAGUUGCAUUCUUCUAUGAUCUCCAGCAACAUCUAGGUCCAUAUUCCAUCUCUUUAUGGCCCAGUGUGCUUUGAACUCUAGUUCAACAGGUAGGUGGCAAGUCUUCCCGUACACCAAUUGGUAUGGAGACAUUCCAAUUGGGGUCUUGUAUGCUGUCCGGUAUGCCCAGAGUGCAUCGGGUAACUUAUCUUUCCAUGCCGUUCCCAUUUCGUUUACUGUCUUCUGAAGAAUAUUCUUGAUUUGCUUGUUGGAAGUCUCUGCUUGGCCACUUGUCUGAGGAUGAUAGGGGGUAGCGACGUUGUGACGGAUUCCACGUUUUGAUAGAUAUUGUUUGAAGCGUUUGUCGAUGAAGUGUGCUCCUCCAUCACUUAUCACUACUCUGGGGACUCCGAAUCUUGGAAAUAUAAUUUCUUCAAACAUCCUCUUUGAACUGAUGUUGUCGGCAUGCUUGCAAGGUAAUGCCUCUACCCACUUGGAGACAUAGUCAACUGCCACCAAGAUGUACUCAAACUUCUUUGAUGGAGGAAAUGGACCCAUGUAGUCUAUUUCCCAAACAUCAAAGAGCUCAAUCUGAAGGUUGUUGGUGAGUGGCAUUGCAUCCCUUGUAUUUAUGUUCCCGUGCCUUUGACAUGGCCCACAUCUUAUGAUAUAUUGCCUCGUGUCUUCAUACAUUGUAGGCCAGUAGAAUUCACACUGCCAGAUCUUUGAAUGUGUACGGAAUGCUCCAUAGUGACCUCCAUAUGGUGAUGAAUGACAUCUGUCGAUGAUCUUCCAUCCUUCCUUGGUGGUCACACAUCUACUGAGUAAGCCAUCAGAGCAUACUCGGAAGAGGUAUGGCUCAUCCCAUAUAUGUGAACGACUUUCUUGAAUAAGCUUCUUCUUGUUUGCUCCUGGUGGUACAUAACCUGAAACCAUAAAAUUAACAAUAUCUGCAUACCAGGGGUCAGACCUGUUAAUCCCAUAGAGCAUGUGGUCCCUGAGUGAAUCAUUGAUGGGGGUUUCCUAUGGACUCUUAAAAUACAUUCUAGACAAGUGAUCAGCAACAGAAUUUUCUACUCCCUUUUUAUCUUUUAUUUCUAAGUCAAAUUCUUGGAGUAAUAAGAUCCAUCUAAUCAGGCGAGGUUUAGCAUCUUUUUUAGUGAGCAAAUAUUUUAGUGCAGCAUGAUCAGUGUAAACAAUUAUUUUAGCUCCAACUAAAUAAGAUCUAAAUUUAUCAAUGGCAAAGACAACAGCUAGAAGCUCUUUUUCAGUGGUUGCAUAGUUAAGUUGAGCUCCUGUCAAAGUUUUACUGGCAUAAGCAAUUGCAUGAUGCUUCUUAUUUUUAGUUUGUCCCAAAACUGCCCCCACAACAUAAUCACUAGCAUCACACAUAAUUUCAAAAGGCAACGACCAAUCAGGGGGUUGAAUGAUUUGUGCAGAGAUGAGUGCUUUCUUUAAUAAAUUAAAAGAUGUUAGACAUGCAUCAUCAAAUUCGAAAGGAGCAUCCUUGGCUAGCAAAAGAGUAAGUGGUCUAGCAAUAAAUGAAAAAUCUUUUAUGAAUCUACGAUAAAAACCAGCAUGGCCAAGAAAGCUUCGAAUUCCUUUUAUGUUCACAGGUGGAGGUAGUUGUUCAAUUAGUUCAAUUUUAGCUUUGUCUGCCUCAAUACCUCUUUCAGACACUAGGUGUCCCAGCACUAUUCCUUCUCUAACCAUAAAAUGACAUUUUUCCCAAUUAAGGACUAAGUGCUUUUCUUGACAUCUUUGCAAAACCUUGUCUAAGUUUUCUAGACAACUAUCAAAAGUUUUUCCAUAAGCAGAGAAAUCAUCCAUGAAAACUUCCAUAAUCUCUUCAAUCAUAUCAGAAAAUAUAAACAUCAUGCAUCUUUGAAAAGAAGCUGGUGCAUUACAUAACCCAAAAGACAUUCUACGGUAAGCAUAAGUUCCAUAUGGGCAUGUAAAAGUGGUUUUGCUUUGAUCAACGGGAUGGAUCGGGAUUUGGUGAUACCCUGAAUAUCCAUCUAAGAAACAGAAAAACAAAUGGUUCGCUAACCGCUCUAGCAUCUCAUCUAUAAAAGGUAAAGGAAAGUGAUCCUUUCUCGUGGCUUUGUUUAGUUUUCUAUAGUCUAUUCACAUCCGCCAUCCUGUGACGGUGCCUUGCGGAAUUAGCUCGUUCUUUUCAUUCAUAAUAACAGUCAUGCCUCCCUUUUUAGGCACAACUUGAACUGGGCUCACCCACUCACUGUGCGGCACAGGAUAUAUAAUCCCUGCAUGCAGCAACUUUAUAACUUCCUUUUUAACUACCUCUCUCAUAGUGUUAUUAAGUCUACGUUGGGGUUCUCGAGAAGGUGAAAUAGAAGGAUCUGUUGGAAUACGAUGGGUACAAAUCAUAGGACUGAUUCCUGUAAGAUCUUGGAGUGAUAAACUGAGUGAUGUUUCUCAAGAAUGGUCAUUAAUCGCAGAGUUUGCUCCUGAGUGAGUUUAUCGCUAAUGAUCACAGGAAACUCUGGAUUAUUGUUUAGGAAAGCAUAGGUAAGACCGGGUGGUAAAGUUUUAAGCUCUAUGGGGGGUCUAGGUGUUUCUGCAAACUCAUCUAAGGGUUCAGGUUCAGAAGGUUCAGCUUCUUCUUCUAUGAAGAAAGGAGUUUCAUCUUCUAAGUCUGGUUCAUCUAAAAGUUCAAGAGAUGCAGCCUUUACCUCCUCCAUAGGAUCAGGCAAAAGAUAUGACUCGGCCUUAUUAUUUAAGGAGUGUGAAAUUGUUAUCGGGAAUUUGAAGGCUUUUCCAAAAGAAAUGUGUAGCUUUCCAGUAUGACCUUCAUAAAGGAGUCUUCUAAAAGGUUGUCCUAUCAACAGGUCGAAGUACCAUGUAUCAAAGAUAUAGAAGUUCAAAUGAACCAUGGAGCCUUCUACCGUAAGAGGUAGGACAUUAAUAAUUCCAAGACUAGGGACUAAUCGUCCCGAAGAUUCCUUUAUGACUUUUGUUGUGGGGGUUAAGACAAGAUUUUUAAAUAGUUGUGCAAAAGAUUCAGACAUGAUGUUGAUCCCCACAAUAGGAUUAUAGAGUGCAUUAAAUCGAUCAGAAUUAUAAGCACAACGUAUAGUUAUAGAGGGUGUGUCCAAACGGAUCACAUCAGAGGAAAGCUCGGAUUCCUCCAACCAUUCGCUACUCAUGACUGAGAUAAGCUCUCUCAAUUGAUAUUCACUUGGCAAAUAAAUGCUAAACUGGCCGUCUUGGGGUUUGUCAAUAGAAUGGUAGUUUGAAAUGUUUCCAAAAUCGGCAAAAAGAUCAGAUUCUAUAUCCAGCAUGAAGUCCGGUGGUGGAAUUUCUUCCUCUUGUGGCUCAGAACUUGGGAUAGCUAAAGUAGAUGAAGAAUUUGGCCGAGUGUCUACUUCGGCUUCGUAGAUUUCAUCAUGAAGGGUAUUAUCCAUCUCACCUUCUAGGAUUCUAUCUAGGAUCAUUCUAGCUUCAUCAGUAGGGAUAUGAAAGAAAGAACCUCUAGACAUUGUGUGUAGCAUUUGUUUGUGAUUUUUCUGAAGACCUCGAAAAAAGUGAAAUAAAAGAACAGGGUCUUCAAGAUUAAGGUUUGGACCAUAUUCUAAAAGAUCAGAAAAAUGUUUCCAGGAUUUUCCCAAAGUUUCAUUAUCUUUUUAUUUAAAAGAUAGGACUUCGAGUUGGCUCGUAAAACUCUCCAUUCACCUCGUUGUUGACUUACCUUCUGACUGUACCAUUGUCUAGCUUCUCCCCUUAAGGAAAAAGGAAAAAGCUUCCAACGUAAGGUUUUAUCAGAAAUGCCUUCAAUGCGAAGACAAUCACAUGUUUGCUCAAAAUCUCUAAUAUGAAGGUAAGGGUUUCCGUCUUCCUUUCCCGAAAAAGAUAGGUUUUGGAUCAUGGCAACCAACCUAGAACUUAACUUAUACUGGGAUGUUUGGAUAGGCUGUGAUGAUUCCCAUGGUAAAAGGUCAGUUACUGAAGGGAUUGCAGAUUCAUGGAUCGAUUUAGAAUUUUGGUUUUCCAUAAGGUAAGAAUAAAGAAAAUAAAUACAGAAUAUAAAAGAUAAAAGUAUAGAUACAAGCUAGUAGUAAGACUCAAGGUUAUCUCAGCAAACCGUCUUUCUCCCCGACAACGGCGCCAGAAAUGCUUGUUGAUAUUUGGGAACACAAUAAGGAAUUGAUCCACAAGUGCACGGAUAUCGGUGAGCACUUCACCCGGGAGGUUAUCUAGAGUAUCGUAUUUAUUUUUUUACCACUAGGAGAAAGAGUGCAUCUGACUAACCGGUCUAUUACUACUAACCCUUUAGGCAACAAAGAAUGUUCUUGAUGUGAGUGAUAAAUAGAGAAGACUGCAACCGUAGUCUCCUUCUCACCUUGGUAAGGAGGAUCUACUGUUCUAUUGGGGAGGCUAACGGAAUCUAGACACCACAAAGGAUGUUCAACCCACACCUAUAAACCCUAUCCUUCCUGCUAACGAGAUAUGGUCUGCAAAGGUAACUCGGAAUUGUCACGUUCCUCACUACUACCACAGUCCAGCUAGUCAGGGAAUAUCUAUGAGUACCCCAGCUAUGUUUACGCCAGCAAUGAUUACUCUAAACUCUAUGCGAAGAGAUUACAGUAAACUCAUAAACCAAAAGACGAAAUACUGAAGAAUCCUAAGAGCAAGCUUCGGGUUAGGAGAACUUGAUCCCGCAGGUACAAGCUUGGAGUAGACACCGAUAGGCCGGGCUUCCUCCAAUCUACACCUCCACUCUAUCUCUCUCAAUCUAGUAGAAACUAGAAGAUCUAUUUCUACUUAUAUUGGUUGCUAAGCCUAAAAAGAAAUUUUAUUUAGAGAAGAGGUUUUCCUUCGAGGGCACCCCUCAACUCUAUGAUAACUUCUUGUCUCCUCCAGGGGCUACGGGGGUCUCCUUAUAUAGUCCUCCUCCUCUAUGCAUUUUUGGGUCGGUAGGCGCUGUGAUACUACGUUAUCCUUGAUCCUUUAGGUCAGUGGAACAUCGUGUGCGAAGAGAGUCCCGAACGGAGUCUAGCAGGGGGCGGGCACCCUGGGCCUGGCCCCUUUCGGCCUCUGCUUUCUUCCCGUGGCUUCUGGAGUCUUCUAGAUGGUAGAAAAUUGCGCGGUACGUUGAUAUCUCUAUGUAAUCCCGACAUGUGGGCCUUUCUUCCUUAUUUCCUGAUAACCCCCUUGCAGAAACAGAUAAACAACAAAACUCGUGGAAUUCUGUCAGAUCAAACCCUAAUUCUAGGUGUUGUUUGCAUAUUGGUCCUUUCUCUUGUUUAUUUGAUAAUUAAAAUUGAUACUUAAGAACCGUCAACAGGAGGCACCCUCACGUGUAUCUAGAUAAGUAUUACUUUUCUUUCUUGGUUUUAUUUAUUAGUAUUUGGAAAUAAAAAAAUGCAUAACCAUGAAACCAAACAAAGUUUUUCUUUUGAAUAAUAUACAAUAGUUUUGUAUAAUCCUAAGUUUUAAAUAAAAUAAAAAGAAAGUUUGAUCCAAGUCUAGGUAAUUGACAAACUUGAUAUGAGAAGGUCUGAGCUACUAUUUAACUUGUUCCAAGUUUUGCUAGAGUUCUGGAGAUUUUAUCUUUUGAAAAUCUAAAAGUUCAUAUAUAUAUAAAAAAAAGAAGCCAUUGUUAAUUCUUGUAGUUUUGGUUGAGAGUAUUAUCAUGCUCCAAAGAUCAAGAUCUUUUUGUUUUAAAAAUAUAAAAGAUUCACUCUUCCGAAGUAUUAUUGCGUUAGAGGCAUGGGACUAUGCAAAAAUUUGAUUCGAAAAGAAAGAGAGUGAGACGAGAGAUAAAAAUGGACAAGUGUCCGAAGUAGAAUUAGGGGUACAAAGAUACUCACCUGAGUGGAAAAAAAUGGACAUGUGUCCAACAGUAGAAUUAGGGGUACUUGCUGCCUACUUGAAAAAAAAGAGAAAAAGAAAAAAAAUGAUGAUAGCCCAUGGUCCCUCUAAUAAGCAAUAUGCUAGUAAGAGAUGACAAACUUUUCAAAAAGGUCAAAUGUCUUGAUCUAGGAGUAUGACAUUCCUCUCCCUUGCUCCGAGCAUUGACAUAGCAAAAUGCAAAGUAAGUAUGCUAAAACUUUUAAAGCUCUACUUAUAUAUCUUUUGAGAAGAAGGCAAAUUCCUCAGUUUUAUUUUGGAAACCUACAAACAACUCCAGAAGAAAGGUAAGACAGAAGAACUUGAGACAUAGUGCUUGACUUGAUCGUUCUAUUUUUCAAUCACUUAAGACCUUAGUGAUAACUUAAAAACCCUAUAGUAAGAGGCAUAAAAGUAACCCCUGUUUUCUUGCUGAUUUUAGCUUUGCUCAGGGACGAGCAAGGGUUAAGCUUGGGGGAGCUUGUUGACGGUCCUUAAUGCUCACAUUUAACUGUCAACUAAUCAUAGAAAAGGAUCCAAAUGCAACCAACACCUAGACUUAGGGUUUUAUCUGACAGAAUACCACGAGUUUAGGUGUUUGUCUAUUUCUGCAGGGGGUUAUCAGGAAAUAUGGAAGAAAGGCCCACAUAUCGGGAUUACAUAGAGAUAUUAAUGUGCCAUGCAAUUUUCUACCAUCUAGAAGACUCCAGAAGCCAUGGGAACGAACGGGAAGGCAAUCAGGCUCGGAGGCAGGGCGCCCGCCCUACUCUCCUGGGCGCCUACCCUGGUACAGUGCCCAAUCAGAGUCCUUUUCGCGGAUCAUGCUCGAGGGUCAAGUACCUAAGGGAUUAAGGAAAACCGUGCGAUUAAUGUCGGUUUGAUCCGACGGCCCAUAUUCAUCUGAAAAGACUAUAUAAGCAAGCCCCCUGGCCCCUGGAGAUCAUACCUCUUCUACAAAAUCAAAGUUAGGGUUUCAAAUCUUCAUCCAAGUAGAGAGGAUCCCUCUAGUUCAUCUAGUUCUACCUCUAGUUCAUUUAAUUCUAGUUCUAGUUCAUCUAUUUCUAGUUCUAGUUCCUCUAGUUCUAGUUCUAGUUAGUUCUAGUUGUAAUCUAGAAAAUAGGGAGAGAGAAGAGGAGAGCGGAGGAGGAGCCAGAUCUGUCAGAUCUUCCUCAACAUUGUACUUUUGCAGCAACUGGUUCGUUCUUCAUCGUUCUCUAGGUUCUUCAAUUC
rnacentral:lncRNA from 1 species